CCCGCUCGUCGCAGCAGCCUAUAUAAAAUAGCAAGGACAGCAGCAGAAGAGCAGAAAUGGAGACGUUGUGGCGGCUACUGCUGCUGCUGGUGGCUUUAACAGUGGGAGGUGUGGCGGCGGCGGACAUCGCCCAGCGGCCACACCAGAUCAUUUCCUUCAACUUCGGGGGCCAGCCUCUCGGGAACCAGUUCGGAGGAUACAAUCCCGCCCAGUUCACGCCAAGCAUUCCUGGUGGUGUGCCAGGCGUGGC